CCUACGGGGGGCUGCAGUGGGGAAGAUUGGACAAUGGGGGGAACCCUGAUCCAGCCAUGCCGCGUGUGUGAAGAAGGCCCUCGGGUUGUAAAGCACUUUCAGUGAGGAAGAACGCCUGGUGGUUAAUACCCAUCAGGAAAGACAUCACUCACAGAAGAAGCACCGGCUAACUCCGUGCCAGCAGCCGCGGUAAUACGGAGGGUGCGAGCGUUAAUCGGAAUUACUGGGCGUAAAGCGCGCGUAGGUGGCUUGAUAAGCCGGUUGUGAAAGCCCCGGGCUCAACCUGGGAACGGCAUCCGGAACUGUCAAGCUAGAGUGCAGGAGAGGAAGGUAGAAUUCCCGGUGUAGCGGUGAAAUGCGUAGAGAUCGGGAGGAAUACCAGUGGCGAAGGCGGCCUUCUGGACUGACACUGACACUGAGGUGCGAAAGCGUGGGUAGCAAACAGGAUUAGAUACCCCAGUAGUC
rnacentral:rRNA from 1 species